rnacentral:lncRNA from 1 species
CAUCUGAGGUGGAUGACGGGGAGUAGCGACCCCGCGGGGCUAUAUAUCCGAGUGCUCCGGGGAGAGUAUACUGUCCCCCAUCUCCGGCCUGCUGGAGUGAAGGUCUCCCGCCUCUUGGCUUGCCUUCAUUGGCCGACCAGAGUGGAGUCGCUAGAGCAGGGUUAGCAGCCCUGCUCGGAGGGUAGGUGCCUCGUGGUAAGCGGCGAGUGGACCGGUGAUGCUGGACCCACAGGGAGCGCGUGAUCUGCGUUUAAAGUCCGCCGAGGUAUCCUCACCCUUCUCAGCCGCUCAUGUACCUGUUGCCCUCUUGUUGCUUUUCAGUGACUGAUUCCCGGGGGCCCAGUAAGUGAGUUGGCGAGUCUCCACCUGCCAUUUUUACGUGUAUUUAUUACAUUGUUAUCGGCAGGUGCCAUAGUUCCCGUAGUUUCCCCAUUCCUAGUCCAUUAGCAUCCCAUCACAAUAGCCCAAGUAGUUUUCAUCCAUAGUUAGCAAUAGUUUAGCACAGAACCGGGGAUUGUCCUUGGGUACAUUUCUAUAGUGUAUACAGGGAUAAUCGUCGGUUUUGUGUCACCAUUUCAUUAAAGUUGUCUCAAAAGGGCUUCAGCGUGUUGGCUUCGGCCCCACGUUCGCCUCCCAAAAAUCCGGGACUCUAUAGUCCCGAGGUCUGGUAGAGACAUACAAGAUUAUAAU